UACGUAGGGGGCAAGCGUUGUCCGGAAUCAUUGGGCGUAAAGCGCGCGUAGGCGGCUAGAUCAGUCUGCUGUGAAAGUCAAAGGCUCAACCUUUGAAUGCCGGUGGAUACUGUCUAGCUAGAGUCCGGAAGAGGCGGGUGGAAUUCCUGGUGUAGCGGUGGAAUGCGCAGAUAUCAGGAGGAACACCAACGGCGAAGGCAGCCCGCUGGGACGGUACUGACGCUAAGGCGCGAAAGCGUGGGGAGCGAACAGG
rnacentral:rRNA from 1 species